UUCCAUGUAGGGACAGGGACGUCCCUCCUCCUCUGCUCCUGCUCACAAUGACCCUGAUCUGGUAAAGCUCCCAUCCUGCCCUGACUCUGCCAUGGGCACCAGGCUCCUCUGCUGGGCAACCCUGUGCCUCCUGGGGGCAGAUCACACAGGUGCUGGAGUUUCCCAGUCCCCCAGGAACAAGGUCACAGAGGAGGGAAAGGAUGUAGUGCUCAGGUGUGAUCCAAUUUCAGGUCAUACCGCCCUUUAUUGGUACCGACAGAGCCUGGGGAAGGGCCUGGAGUUUUUAAUUUACUUCCAAGGCAACGAUGCACCAGACAAAUCAGGGCUGCCCAGUGGUCGGUUCUCUGCAGAGAGGACUGAGGGAUCCGUCUCCACUCUGAAGAUCCAGCGAACAGAGCAGGGGGACUCGGCCGUGUAUCUCUGUGCCAGCAGCUUAGCCACAGCGUGGCACAGUCACCUCCUUCCUGUUCACAAACCUCAUCCUUCUCUCUCCUUGCAGCAUCUGGAGACCCUUAACAGAGGCCUCUCUUUGCUCCCCGCUCCCCGCUCCCCGUGGGAAACAAGUAGAUUUGGACCUCAGCUGUCCUUUGGGUAGAAAGAGACCACAGAUUCACCCCUAAGACACAGUGACUGUAAAUGUGGGUGGUGGAAGCAAUCGUGGUCCUCUGGACUCUAGGAGUCUUCAGAGCCAGCUCACCGCUCUAAGGCAAGCACUGGGUGUCUUAGCCUCGGCCUUCAGGGCUGGGACAUGCAGUUUUCUUUGGGGCCUGGGAGGUUGCUGCCCACAUACAGAAGCUUUGGGCAUGGGCAAGGAACAGGCCUGUUCCCCUGCAUGCAUUCUGGCAUCUGGCAUCUGCAAGGUCUGAAGCUUCAUCCACAGGAACAUUUUUUCUUCUGAAGCCUCUUCUAUCCCUGUCACAUUGGAAGUUUUCUGCAGUACCAGAGCAAAACAAUCUUCGUGUUUGACUUAAACAUCCUUGUGACUUU